rnacentral:pre_miRNA from 12 species
CCACCACUUAAACGUGGAUGUACUUGCUUUGAAACUCAAAAAGUAAGUGCUUCCAUGUUUUAGUGAUGG